ACUCCUACGGGAGGCAGCAGUGGGGAAUUUUGCGCAAUGGGGGAAACCCUGACGCAGCAACGCCGCUUGGGGGAUGAAGUCCCUUGGGUUGUAAACUCCUUUCGACCGGGACGAUUAAGACG
rnacentral:rRNA from 1 species